UUUGUACUCCCUCCGUCCCAAAAUUCUUGUCUUAAAUUUGUCUAAAUACAGAUGUAUCUAGUUACAUUUUAGUAUUAGAUACAUCCGUAUCUAAACAAAUGUAAGACAAGAAUUUUGGGACGGAGGGAAUACUAC
rnacentral:pre_miRNA from 1 species